rnacentral:rRNA from 1 species
GACACGACUCUCGGCAAUGGAUAUCUCGGCUCUCGCAUCGAUGAAGAGCGCAGCGAAAUGCGAUACUUGGUGCGAAUUGCAGAAUCCCGCGAACCAUCGAGUCUUUGAACGCAAGUUGCGCCGAGGCCAGCCGGCCAAGGGCACGCCCGCCUGGGCGUCAAGC